rnacentral:lncRNA from 1 species
GGUUCAAUUUUUCUCAUUUCAAAUUUCAUAAAUAAAAAGAAAAUUUCUUCAAACAUUUUUUGAGAGGAUUAAUAUUCAACAGCAUAGUGAAUUGCUCUAAGAAAAAAAAAAUUUUAAGUUCAUUAGAACACAUUCAUUCUGUGUCAGAAACCUAUGCUGUGUCAACUAUUUAAUCACAAUCCAAAUUUAGAGCUGAAUCCAGCUUGAAUGUUGUGUCCAUACUUGCCCCAACCGUUCAGGGUUCAACCUCUGCGGUCGUAUAAAGCUACGCCCUGCGGAGCAUCUGGUUUACUCAUAU